rnacentral:snRNA from 1 species
GUGCUAGCUUCGGCAGCACAUAUACUAAAAUUGGAACGAUACAGAGAAGAUUAGAAUGGCCCCUGCGCAAGGAUGACACGCAAAAUCGUGAAGCGUUCCUAAUUUUU